CGUGUCGUGAGAUGUUCGGUUCAGUCCGGAAACGAGCGAAACCCCUGCACCAGAAGAGUCUGGUGUACUGCAGGAGAAACUCUUGAGGAAGAGGGGGAUGACGUCAAGUCCUCAUGGCCCUUAUGGAAUGGGCUACAGCCGUGCUACAAUGAUAAGGACAAUAUGAUGCAAACACGCAAGUCGGCGCAAGACCAUAAACCUUAUCGCAGUUCGGAUUGAAGUCUGCAACUCGACUUCAUGAAGUUGGAAUUGCCAGUAAUCGUGUAUCAGCAUGGCACGGUGAAUUUGUACCUGAGCCUU
rnacentral:rRNA from 1 species